CCACCGCCGGCGGUGAGCAUAACCCAGAUCCCCUAACCACAUCGAUGCAUGCCUUCCCUAGUGACGCGGCCACCGACAGCCCCGUCCACCGCUAGCCCUCUCGAAGGACCAAGACAGCGCCCUCCACUUCCUCCUCUCAGGGAAAGAUCCUUCCUAUUCUUCCUCUCUGGAAGGACCAAGACAGCGCCCUCCUCUUCUUCCUCUCAGGGAAAGAUUCCAUAUGUGGUAUGUUGCAUCGCAGGAAAAAUUAUCUUCUGCCAUCUCAUGUGCCUGCCUAGUUGGUUAUAUCUAUUAGUUUGGUCUGACAAGCUCUUGUCUGUUAUGUGAUGCUUUAUUUCUCUAAAAAUGUUGUGGAUCUGAAAAUUUUCAGUUACUCUGUUAUGGAUCUGGUUUAACUCUAAUGUUGAUGCACUAUUGUUGUCAUUGCAGACUAUUAAUGCAUUUAGUUCUCUGUGAAAUUUUUCAGCUACUUUAUUUGGUUAAUUGUGUUGCGCGACUACUUUGUUAGGCAUCCAGUAAUACUUCUGUUGGUGCGUGAAGUUCAACAAAAUAUUAUAAAAGUGAACCUUGAUUUUAAUUUGGAGACACAAGAAAGACACUGGCAUAUAAAAUGUCAUCGAGACAAUGGCAUAUAUAUGUCAUUGGGAAAACGAAUGGACAUGUAGGAAAUUGUUGGUCUGGUGUCCUGUUUUAACACUUGUUUGAAACAUCUGAAUAUUACACCCUAAAUCCUAUGUAAACCUUGGGAACUUAUUAUCACUGGAUCUUAUUGUUGCCAUGUAAGCUUGAUUGCUGAUCUACAACAUGGUUAUGCUUUAUGUCAUGUCUUCACCUUUGUUUGGCCAAUCUGAAUAGAAGAACAAAAACACAACUCCCUAAUCCUUUAGAUUCAGUAUGUGGCUCCAUGCAAGUUUAUCACUGGCAUAUAAUUAUAUGAUGAUAAGCUUCAUUGUUUUAUUUUCAGCUUGUGCUAGAGGCAUGCCGCUGGCACCGUUGGGCCCUCAUUUAUGUUAUACAAGCCAUUUGAGGAUAUGACGUGGUAAGUCAGCAAAUGGAAUGGAUGGAUCCAUCAUUUUGCCAUCCUGAUGCUUGUCCAGGAUUUCCUUUUUGUUAACCAGUUCAACUAGUCCAUCAUUUUAAACUAGGCCCGAGAAAUGAAGGUUCAGUUUAUCACAAACAAUUUUAAUAUGUAUCACCUUACUAUCUUGGCAGAUGAGCUAUUUUUCAGUCAACGCGUGGCGAGUCCACUUGGAACUGAAUAGGCACUGGUUCUUCUUCUUACUCUCCAUGAGCCCCUUAUACUACUGCUAUGGUUUAUGUGCCUACUUUUAACUCUCUAAUCUGAAAUUGGGCUGCUUUGUUUCAGCUGAUCUGAUAGUGUGGGUGGGAUAUACAGAACAACCUUGAGAUGUGUCUGCGACCAAUCCACAUUCGGCACAACUCCCACAACUUGAACACCAAGCUCUUUGCCAUUUAAGUACGUAUCUGCACCCCAAAUGGCUUAUUUCAAAGUGUAGAGCGUAGUUUGCAACUGAAUGGCUCAGUUUGUCCUGUGAUUGCGUCAUGUGUAAUUUAAAUUCACUACUACCAGCACUAGCCGUUGUAACUGUGGCUCACUGGUUGUAUUAGGAAAUGCUCUGCUAAUGUUUGUGCAACUCAUGACCGGUAUUUGAAUCAAUUCACUAGGCAUUACGUAACAGCUGAACACCACUUUUAUUUUAUGGUAGAUGGUUGAGAGAAUAAACUAGAUGGAUGACAAAUCCGAGAAGGGCAUUGAACAAAGUGUAGGUAUCAUGGUAAAUUAUCUCUAAGGUAUUCCUUUAGCCUUUUAGUGUGUUUAGAAGUUACAAGAUGACAUGAUUUGUUUCUCUGUAUGUAGGAUCUAUCUGCAUGCAUACUAUAUUUAUCGGCUUUAUUCAUACUGAUGUCUUGCCAAAGCAACUAUGUAUUAGAACAGAAGCAAUAGGGGCCUGAACCAAUAGGGGUCUUCCCAAAGCCAACCAAUCCAGUUUACGCAUCCAUUUGGCCAAGCUAAUUGGUUGCAACGUGAAUGAAAAUAGGCCAAUGAUUGCAGCGAGAGAUGCCUUGCUGAUUAGUAGUAUGCGGUUGUCCAUGAGCGUCUCCCUUUUAUAGGUAUUUGACUGUUAGACAAUUUAUAUACAUGUCCAUGCAUGGGUCUGUUGAAUUUUUUCCUAGAGUUCAAAGUGAUCCCUUGGUAUGCGUUUGUAUUUCUAUGAAAUAUGAUCCUGUUGUUUUUUAGGAAAAAUAUUCUGGUGUCAUAAGUCUAGAUGCUUUUGCUGGUAUCCAGAUCUUUGUUGGCACGGCUGCACCUCUUUGGUUACCUAGCAUGGCAAUGCAACAUAAGUCUACAUGGUAUUGUUGUACAUAACAUGAUAGAACAUAAAUUGUUGACACUAAGCGCACAUAUUUUGGUACUUAGUCGUCCAUGCAUGAUUUAUUAUAGUUAAAAUUCUAUUGUAGGUGCGAACCAACAUGUGAUUGGGUGGUUAGGGGUAGGGUGCGCGUGCGUGCGUUUAUAUGGAUACGUGUAUGUGCGUAUGUAUGAGCGUGUGUGUCUGCACUAUGUUGAAAACAAAUGUAUUGUAGGCAUGCUUUAUUUUUAAAAAGAAUGCGAAGAGAGAUACUUCAUUAGAUAAAAAAAGUAUCUCCUAAUAUCAUUGUCGUCACUAUAAGUUUGAUUUGUAUAAGUGCAAAUCUACUUGGUAGAGCUAUUCUUUUUGUGAAACCCAUGUCUGAGUUAAACAUGACGCACUAAGCAAUACAGACUGUAUUAUGAUAGAACGCUAAUGUUCGGACUAUCUAUUUGGUAGUGCUAGUAUUUUUUUUAAAUCCACAGGACACAUCAAAUAGGAGUCCAGGCUGUUUUUUUCUUUCACAUGCUAGGGCGCUUAUCUUGUGCGUGGGGGGUUAGGUGCCGAACUCUUCUUUUGUUUUUUCGUACUGGACGCUUCCUCUUUCCCGUGGGAGGUUAUGUAGCUCUUAAUCAUGAAAAAUCUAGAGAGGUUGCGAAGGAGUUUGUCUUUUCUUCAGUGAAUGCUUAUGUAAUAGACUAUAAAAUAAGCUACUGGGUUGUAUGAUCUCUGUUUCAGAUGGUCAAUACCUUCAUUGUUGAUAAAAUUGCAAGCACAUGAACAUAGUUCUGUAUAGUACCAUGUGAGCCGUUGAUAUCAUGAGGAUUUAUUGAUUGACUAUGUUAAUCCACAAAUGAGCUUUGAACAACUUGAGCUGAUUACACUUUCUUGACAAUUUUUUGUCAAAAAUUCCAGGUACUUAGCCAACUGGUGCACAUGGACGUGAUGACUUUGCAGCGUUUAUGGACCAACGAACUUGUAAUCAUGGAUCUUAUGUGUUGUAGACCAUUUGGUGAUUUGGUUAUUUUGGAGCUUGCAUUUUGUGCAUGUGGAUACAGACUUGUGUGUACUGGAUCAUCUAGUUGAAGUUUCUCAUACCAGCAAAUAAUGCUAUCUUUUUGUGACUUGUGUGUUCUGGGUGAUUAUUAAGAUGGUAAAAACUAUGCUUUGUCAAGAUUGAUGUGUUUGUCAACUUGUGUUCAAUGUAUACGAACGUUUGUGAAUAUAUUUCAUUGUUGUACAAUAUGUGUUCAUCUUGAACCUGCUUCUGGAUGUGGGGAUAAUAAUUGAAUCUGUUUAGAGCUU
rnacentral:lncRNA from 1 species